AAAAAUAUCACUGUCAUUAGCGCCAAGUAACCUCCAAGAACAAUACCAGUAGUAAAGAUCUCUUUAAGUUUCCAGCUAUCUGGCUGUGGUGAUGGUUUCACUCGAUCUUUUGAUAUUGUCAUGAUUGUUCCGUCGUUUAAGAUGGCAAUAAUUAGAACCAUGAACGGAGCAAAGUCAUAUUUCCAUAUUAGGGCAAUAAACAUGAAUCCAAACACAAUACGGAUUGUAAUUGAGAC
rnacentral:misc_RNA from 1 species